UUUCUGUAGGUUUCCUAUUUUACUUGGUAGAGAAAGUUCCCACUGUUCAAAGGCUCGCCUUAUAAGGAUUUGAACAGAGGGACAGAUGAUCUGAUUCAUUUGCUGUGGAAGGAGUCCUGAAUCCGGAACUCCAGAGGUCCUGGAAGUAUUUGUAUUAGAGCUUUUCUGCAGACAGUCAUCAGAAUAAUCUGCAUGUCCCAGAAGGCCAUUGAGCCAACACUCUGACAGAAGAGCUGAGCUGCAGAGUCACCCCAAUGGCUUGGAGAACUGGAAGCACCAUAAACGUCCUCUCCUUUGACAGAUCUGCUCUUUUAUUCCAUAUUGAACCAGUAAGAGUCAUAGAUGAGAAAACUGAGGCACUGAAAGGCUUGUCAAAUAUUAUACAAUUUGUUCUCUCUAAGGAGUAAGGAAACUCCAGGACCUUCCCAGCAGACAACUCUUCACAUCUCAUUGGCACAUGCCUACUCCUGAACCAAUUAGGUAACACUUAGCCCAAACCUUAGCCUAGCCCUGGAACUGGAGUCAGGUAAGCUUGGUUUUUCUUUGGAUUUUCUGGGUUUUCUUUGGAAGGAAAAGAGGGUGAAGGGAGUUGAUGCUGAGAAAAUAGCCAACAGUCUCCAGUCAUUUCUGUUAGUCCUUUGUAGCUCAAUGACUCAUUCAUUUGAAUGCCUAUUAUGUUGGGAGCACAAGUGAAAAUUUCUGGAAAGCAUAUAUGGUUUGAAUCUUGAGGAGAAGAAUCUGGGCUACAGAUAGAGAUCUGGGCUGGAGAUAGAGAUCUGAUCAUCAUCCACACACAGAUUAUAAUUGUUUUAAGUCAUGGGGAUAAAAUUCCCACUGGAGAGAGUAGAUGGUCUACAAUAAUAUUUGGUGUUUCUAUCUUCUGUGUUAUUAAAUAAAAGGUUUUCUUAUGAUUGUUAAAAAUCUAUAGCUGUACCUAGUAUACUUAACUGUUGUUAAUAGCCACUCAUUCAUUCAUUCACUUAAUCUUUUAUUAGUUUAUUAGACUUAUUCUAAAUAUGAAGACACUUGUUCUUCACUAGUCCAAGAUGUUCAAGGGCUCCAGAAUCAAACCUUCACAAGAACAGCCUAAGAUUGUUGUUAGCUAAAUACAAGAGGUAGAGUAAUCUUGCACCAGUGAUGAUAACAGAGUUGUGCCCCAGUAUAUGUACUCUGUUAACUUUGCUUUGGAUGUAUCUUGUGCUCAUCAGUCUAAAGAAUGCAUGCUAGUUGGGCUAAUCUAAUAAGCCCAUAGCUCAGUUGUUUAAUCCAAUAGAGGUUUAUUUCUUAUUUAUGUUGAAUCCCAACUUGGGUUAACAGGGACCUUUCAUCUAGCAGUUUCACCAUACCUUUGAGCCCUGAAAUCUCCCCUUGGAUCCUCAGCAUUUGUCUAACAGAUGAAAGAAAAGAGAAAGAGCAUGGAAGAUUGCAUGGGAAGCCUUAUGGGACAAACCUUGGGUUGCUGAACAUCACUUCUGACCCACCUUCCAUUGACCAGAAGUCAGUCACAUGGUCACAGCAAACUGCAAGGAAUUCUGGAAAAUGUGUUGUAUUUGCAGGCAGAGGAAAAUGGGUUUGGCGGGCUUCUGGCUAGUCUCUGAUGUACAAUGGAUUUAGUGAAACAUUUCUGUGAUGUUAAAAUUUCAUGUUUUUACUUGGCAUGCUUACUAUUUCUCUCCAAUAUUGUGUUCCUAUUUAUAAGAGACUUUUCUUAUGCUAUAUUCUUCCUCACAGAUUAUAGCUUGGGUGUUAUUAGUAUUUCAUGUUUCUAAUUAUUCAGAAGAAUCCUCGUAAUUUUGCUUGUUAUUUACAGUUACUCCAUUCUUUCCUCAAAGUUCUCUGCUUUUCAUUUUACAGACUUGCAUUUCAGUCAGAAUCCAUUUGACCUCUUUUCUAAUGCUUCAGUAGAUUUUUUUCCUAUGCUUCUUAAGGUUCUUACAUGUAGAUCAGCUAGCUUUAUGUAUCUUAAAAAUUUUAAACUUUGCAAUUAGUGAACAAACAUUAAAAAAUACCCUAAAUUGUUUGAUUAAUUAAAUAAAACCUCAGAAAACAUAUAACUCUUAGAAAUACUUUAAUGCACAAUAUUAAGUUCAAAGCAUGUGACUUGUAUUUAAUAUUAUUGUAGAAAUUAUAAGCUUAAUUUUAAAAAGAUUAAAUAAAUAAAUGCUCAGAAACAAAUUUUGC